GAUUUAUACAUGGCUUAGUAUCCUAAUAGUAUUGAUUCGCAUGGUUGUCUCCUCAAAGGAAAUAUAUUGGUAAAAAUUAACCGAAUAAAAAAAGAUGUACCCUAGCUGAAAGUAGCAUCUCAAAUAUAAAAUAGAACUGUUCUUAAUUCUAUUUCACUCAUAAAACUUGAAGGUCGAGAACGAGAUUAUAUCGAUCAUCUCUAUAUCAUACAACUACUAUUUAUAUACAUUGUACCUACAGAAAAUAUGCACAGUGUCAGAGACUUUCAGUACCUAAAGUAAAAUGUAAAUGCCGUAAGUAGUCAGUACUUCAAUAAGACAGCAACCAGACAACAACACAAGGCCAAAAGAAAAUUAAAAAGGAAAAGACAUCUUAUGAUAUGCAUUUGUAAGGGGGGAAUGGGAUGGCAGUGGUCGUGAUCCCGAAAUUCCAGACUUUAAAAGAUGAAAUCCCGAGGUCCCGAAUUUAUAGAAAUUUAAAUCACGCCAUCCCCCC
rnacentral:lncRNA from 1 species